AGGCGACUCUGCGUGUCGGUGAGGACCUGGUACCCGUCGCUGCGCUCCGCCCCUCCACCUAUCACCACCUGCCCUCCCGAGGCUCCAAGGGCGGCAGGGUGCCGCCGGGCCUCCGCCGUGCCCCCUACGCCCUCGACCUGCUCGGCCUUUGGGCCGGGGAGGCUGGGAUGCGGGACACAACAGCGCGGUCGUCCCGACUCCCCUGCCGUCAUCCGAAAGCACCGGAGGCACGCCAAGCCGACCCAACUCCGUAAGCCCGUAGCUCGCCAAACUCCCGAUACCCUGUGCGCCCCGUGGGUCCGAAACUUUCCCGCACCUAUAUAGCAACCCCCACCCUAGACAGGGGGGGUCGUGGUGACAGGGCUGUGGACGGCCGGCGGGACCGGGGUUACGGGGGACGGAGGUGCGGGACGCGGAAGAGGCCCGGUGCGCUCCUUCGACGCCCUAGGACCCUUGAACCUCGUAGUCCGGGCCCGGCUUCCCCGCCGACAGGUGCGUUCCCUUCCCCCGGCUCUCUCUCCUUUCCUCCGUCAGCGCGACGUCCCGUCGGGGCUCGCCGUGUGCCGCUCGGGUACCCCGCAAGGGGUUCAAAGCCUCCCCGGAGCGCCCGGGCGGUCUACUCUGUAAAUCCCAGGUUCUCUGAUCCAGUCAACCCACAAACCAAAAAACUGGACAACUCUUAGCGGUGGAUCACUCGGCUCGUGCGUCUAUGAAGAACGCAGCUAGCUGCGAGAACUAAUGUGAAUUGCAGGACACAUUGAUCAUCGACACUUCGAACGCACCUUGCGGCCCCGGGUUCCUCCCGGGGCUACGCCUGUCUGAGGGUUGCUUUCCAAAACAAUCGCAAGCCUCGGUCGACUCACGUCGACCCGGGCCUUCGUCCCCCUAAGUGCAGACUACGGGAUGCCCGUCGCGACGGACCCACCUCGGGCCCGGCGCUGCCGCCGUCCUCCGGUUCUCCCGACACAGCCGUCGUCCCUCCUCCGUUUCCCCACCUCCAAUGAUCCUCCGCGGGCGCCGGUGGACCGGGGGUGCGGAGGGGGCGGCUGUCUCCGCCUAGCCCCAAACGGUUGCGGGCGCGGCUGCCGGUGCGGACACUCCCUCAAGAGGUCUCGUCUGAGCUGCCCGCGUCCGUGCCGCGCGCCCAGGGGCUCACACGGCGGAGGCGGACGCCUCCAGCGGGGGACGGCGGUAGGGAGGCUCGGCCCGGACGACGUGCUGGCGUCGGACCCGAGCUCGGUGGUGCGCCGCGACCGACUCUGGAUCGGCCAGGAAGGGCUCGGGGCGAAGGUGGCUCGCGGCUCCGGCCGCGAGCUUUACAGCGACCCAACGCCUGGACCUCGCCGCUUUCCGGGGUCGUGGAAUCAGUACUCACUGCGCCUUCUCUCCUCCGCCUCGCGCCUCCGUCCCCCUCCUCGUGGGGGGGGCGGGGGACUGGGCGGCCCACGGGAGAGAUCGGACGAAGUACAUGUUUGA
rnacentral:lncRNA from 1 species